GACGAACGCUGGCGGCGUGCUUAACACAUGCAAGUCGAACGCUGAAGCUCAGCUUUUGUUGGGUGGAUGAGUGGCGAACGGGUGAGUAACACGUGAGUAACCUGCCCCCUUCUUUGGGAUAACGCCCGGAAACGGGUGCUAAUACUGGAUAUUCACUGGUCUUCGCAUGGGGGUUGGUGGAAAGGGUUUUUCUGGUGGGGGAUGGGCUCGCGGCCUAUCAGCUUGUUGGUGGGGUGAUGGCCUACCAAGGCUUUGACGGGUAGCCGGCCUGAGAGGGUGACCGGUAACAUUGGGACUGAGAUACGGCCCAGACUCCGACGGGAGGCAGCAGUGGGGAAUAUUGCACAAUGGGCGCAAGCCUGAUGCAGCGACGCCGCGGGAGGGAUGGAGGCCUUCGGGUUGUGAACCUCUUUCGCUAAUGGUCAAGCCGCAACAAUGGUUGUGGUGAGGGUAGUGGGUAAAGAAGCGCCGGCUAACUACGUG
rnacentral:rRNA from 1 species